UACGGGGGGAGCAAGCGUUGUUCGGAUUUACUGGGCGUAAAGGGCGCGUAGGCGGCGCAACAAGUCACUUGUGAAAUCUCCGGGCUUAACCCGGAGCGGCCAAGUGAUACUGUCGUGCUAGAGUGCGGAAGGGGCUACUGGAAUUCUCGGUGUAGCGGUGAAAUGCGUAGAUAUCGGGAGGAACACCUAUGGCGAAGGCAGCUCGCUGGGACGUUACUGACGCUGAGACGCGAAAGCGUGGGGAGCAAACAGG
rnacentral:rRNA from 1 species